rnacentral:rRNA from 1 species
UACGAAGGGGGCUAGCGUUGUUCGGAAUUACUGGGCGUAAAGCGCACGUAGGCGGAUAUUUAAGUCAGGGGUGAAAUCCUGGAGCUCAACUCCAGAACUGCCUUUGAUACUGGAGAGCUUGAGUCCGGAAGAGGUGAGUGGAACUCCGAGUGUAGAGGUGAAAUUCGUAGAUAUUCGGAAGAACACCAGUGGCGAAGGCGGCUCACUGG